rnacentral:lncRNA from 1 species
UCAAAAUUUUACUCCCAAAAACCCUUAAAACCUUUUAUUUUCCCCUAAAAUUUUUACUCCCUCCCACUUUUCCCCUAAAACUUUUAUUCCCUUCCCAUCCUAUCUCCCAUCUACCCCAAACCCUCCUCCCUCCAAUUUUUUUUAAUAUUUUCCCUCCAAAAUUUUACUCCUCCUAUUUACUUUCCCUCAAACUUUUAUUCCCCAAAACUUUUUAUUUUCCCCCUAAACUUUUACUUCUCACC